rnacentral:misc_RNA from 1 species
AAGUCGUAACAAGGUUUCCGUAGGUGAACCUGCGGAAGGAUCAUUAACACGUAUCCACGUAUCAACCAAUGUGCAUCGGUUUUCAUACGAACCCUUCGUAUGCAGAAGAUAUUUCUCUUCUGUUAUAGGAAGGUCCCCUUUUUAUACAUUUUUUAUAAACCUUUAUCACCCUCUUCUUCGAAGUUGACUAUGUAGUGGGUAUAUGAAAUUCAUAUACUUACUGUAUUCAUUAGUUGAAUCAUAUUUUGAUACAACUCUUGGCGAUGGAUAUCUUGGCUCUC